rnacentral:rRNA from 1 species
GUCUAUAUGAAGAUAUUUAUAGUCUGGCCUGCUCCCUGACUAUAAAGUUAAAGAGCCGCGGUAAUUUGACCGUGCAAAGGUAGCAUAAUCAUUAGUUUCUUAAUUGGGAACUUGUAUGAAAGGUCUGACAAAGAAAAAGCUGUCUUUAUUAUGAAAGUUGAAUUUAACUUUUAAGUGAAAAGGCUUAAAUAAUUUAGAGGGACGAUAAGACCCUAUAAAGCUUUAUAUAAAAAAUAAUUAAAAUUAAAUUUAUAAUAAAGAUUUAAAUUAAUUAUUAUAUUUUAUUGGGGUGAUAAUGAUAAAAAUAAUAUUAACUGUUGAACAAAUAUACAUAAAUAAAAGAGUUAAGUUAGUUAAUGAUCCUUAUUUAAAGAUUAAAAGAUUAAGUUACUUUAGGGAUAACAGCGUAAUUUUUCUUGAGAGUUCAUAUCGAAAGAAAAGAUUUCGACCUCGAUGUUGAAUUAAGAUAUCUAUGUAAAGCAGUCAUUACAUAAGAAGGUC